GGGAAACUUGUGCUAAUACCGAAUGUGCCCUUCGGGGGAAAGAUUUAUCGCCAUUGGAGCGGCCCGCGUUGGAUUAGCUAGUUGGUGGGGUAAAGGCCCACCAAGGCGACGAUCCAUAGCUGGUCUGAGAGGAUGAUCAGCCACACUGGGACUGAGACACGGCCCAGACUCCUACGGGAGGCAGCAGUAGGGAAUCUUGCGCAAUGGGCGAAAGCCUGACGCAGCCAUGCCGCGUGAAUGAUGAAGGUCUUAGGGUUGUAAAAUUCUUUCACCGGGGAAGAUAAUGACGGUACCCGGAGAAGAAGCCCCGGCUAACUUCGUGCCAGCAGCCGCGGUAAUACGAAGGGGGCUAGCGUUGCUCGGAAUUACUGGGCGUAAAGGGCGCGUAGGCGGACAGUUUAGUCAGAGGUGAAAGCCCAGGGCUCAACCUUGGAAUUGCCUUUGAUACUGGCUGUCUUGAGUUCGGGAGAGGUGAGUGGAAUGCCGAGUGUAGAGGUGAAAUUCGUAGAUAUUCGGCGGAACACCAGUGGCGAAGGCGACUCACUGGCCCGAUACUGACGCUGAGGCGCGA
rnacentral:rRNA from 1 species